rnacentral:lncRNA from 1 species
UCUGAGCAGCUAGCACUGACUCCAUCAUGGCAGUCAUUCGAGCGAUAUCUCCCUUUAGCUCUCUAUUCUCUUACUCAAGAUGUUCCAUGAUCCUUGAGUGAUUGGCGUGAGUGUUGUACCGAUGAGUCAGCUUGGCUGAAGCACAGAAGAAACACCAAUGAGACAUCUGGCGAAAGAGAAACCUGCUUAUGCAAAUGAUGUAUGAAAUUCAAUGCUUGUUUAUUUAUUUUUAUUUUUUCCAAGGAACUUACUAUAUUAUUUGCGAAUAUAUAUGUUUUUAAC